ACUCCCACAUGGGCAAGGAGAUAGACAGUCAUGACUACGUGUUCCGAUUGAGCGGAGCUCUCAUUAAAGGCUACGAACAGGAUGUGGGGACUCGGACAUCCUUCUACGGCUUUACCGCCUUCUCUCUGACCCAGUCACUCCUUAUUUUGGGCAAUCGGGGUUUCAAGAAUGUGCCUCUCGGGAAGGCACAGACCCCAGGAAGCUUUCCGGGAAGCCCUGCACAUGGACAGGUACCUGUUGCUGCACCCAGACUUUCUCCGAUACAUGAAGAACAGGUUAGAGCAGAAAGCAUGUGACACGUAGCCCAGGUCCCUGUUAUCCUUGCAGCCUCCUGACAGUUGGGGGUUUGGGGCAUUUCACAGGUUUCUGAGGUCUAAGACCCUGGAUGGUGCCCACUGGAGGAUAUACCGCCCCACCACUGGGGCCCUCCUGCUGCUCACUGCCCUUCAGCUCUGUGACCAGGUAAGGCUCCCCUGAAGCUGCAAAAAUACCUAGAGAAACAGCUCCUGGGCUAUUCCUGGGCCUGUUCAGCAUAGGAAAAUGCAUGGGCUGGGUGCACACGUCUGGUGGGUACAUGCAGUUAUGUGUGCAUAUCCAAGGACCUGUACC
rnacentral:sRNA from 1 species